UACGGAGGGGGUUAGCGUUGUUCGGAAUUACUGGGCGUAAAGGGAGCGUAGGCGGACAUUUAAGUCAGAGGUGAAAUCCCGGAGCUCAACUCCGGAACUGCCUUUGAUACUGGGUGUCUUGAGUGUGAGAGAGGUAUGUGGAACUCCGAGUGUAGAGGUGAAAUUCGUAGAUAUUCGGAAGAACACCAGUGGCGAAGGCGACAUACUGGCUCAUUACUGACGCUGAGGCUCGAAAGCGUGGGGAGCAAACAGG
rnacentral:misc_RNA from 1 species